rnacentral:rRNA from 1 species
UACGGAGGGUGCGAGCGUUGUCCGGAAUCAUUGGGCGUAAAGGGUGCGUAGGCGGCGCGGUAAGUCGGAUGUGAAAUCUCGGAGCUUAACUUCGAGACUGCAUUCGAUACUGCCGUGCUUGAGGACUGGAGAGGAGACUGGAAUUUACGGUGUAGCGGUGAAAUGCGUAGAUAUCGUAAGGAAGACCAGUGGCGAAGGCGGGUCUCUGGACAGUUCCUGACGCUGAGGCACGAAGGUCAGGGGAGCAAACGGG